AGCAAAGGAAAUACAAUACAUCAAGGCACCAGAUCCCAUCUGAACUUAGAAGCUAAGCAGAAUCAGCCCUGGUUAGUACUUGGAUGGGAAACCGUCAACAAAUACCAGGAGCUAUAGACU
rnacentral:rRNA from 1 species